rnacentral:lncRNA from 1 species
CGUCUGUGUCAGAGCUGGGUCUAGUCAUGAAAUGCCACUGACAAAGACACGCCAAUUGUUACUUAUUUAAGAGAAGAUCACUUAGAGAACAAACAACGCACAAACGACAGAGAAGCCUUUUGUGCUAUCUCAGGGAUUAGGAAGUCUCAUGUCUUCCUCUGUGCUUCAGAGAGAGACCCAAGUUAAAACUUCUCCCAUGGAAUCUGAUCAGGCACAGAGAAGGAUGAAGGAGGGGAUGUCUUUACCUCUAUUUCCAACUGGUCCCCGAUUCCGAGAGAGGACAGUUAUCCUGAAGAUGUGAGUAUGGGAACUGUAUGGGUGUGGAGAAGGGCUGGUGGGUCUUGGCU